AAGUCGUAACAAGGUUUCCGUAGGUGAACCUGCGGAAGGAUCAUUAUCACGUAUCCACGUAUAAACCAUUGUGAACUGUUCUAUCACCUUUGUUGGUUAGUGAAUGAAGCUUGAUGUGUGUCUCUUCGGAGUCCGCAUUAGUGGAGUUCAGUUUCCGCAAAGUGUAUCAACCUUAUAUUAACCAUUAUAACCCAAUCUUUAUAACUUUUAUGAACUAAUUUUUAUUUUAUACUCUUCGGAGAUAAAAUUCAUUACGAAACAAAGAACAACUCUUAGCAACGGAUAUCUUGGUUCUC
rnacentral:misc_RNA from 1 species